UAUGUAGGCAGCGAGCGUUGUUCGGAGUUACUGGGCGUAAAGGGUGCGUAGGCGGUUGUUUAAGUUUGGUGUGAAAUCUCCCGGCUCAACUGGGAGGGUGCGCCGAAUACUGAAUGACUAGAGUGCGGGAGAGGAUAGUGGAAUUCCUGGUGUAGCGGUGAAAUGCGUAGAUAUCAGGAGGAACACCGGUGGUGUAGACGGCUAUCUGGACCGUAACUGACGCUGAGGCACGAAAGCGUGGGUAGCAAACAGG
rnacentral:rRNA from 1 species